rnacentral:rRNA from 1 species
UGGGGAACCUGCCCCAUAGUCUGGGAUACCACUUGGAAACAGGUGCUAAUACCGGAUAAGAAAGCAGAUCGCAUGAUCAGCUUUUAAAAGGCGGCGUAAGCUGUCGCUAUGGGAUGGCCCCGCGGUGCAUUAGUUAGUUGGUAAGGUAAAGGCUUACCAAGGCGAUGAUGCAUAGCCGAGUUGAUAGACUGAUCGGCCACAUUGGGACUGAGACACGGCCCAAACUCCUACGGGAGGCAGCAGUC